GAUAACGACCACCACCCUGUGGAAUUUUGAUAAAACAGUUUAUAGUAAUUCUCCAACAGACUGGAGUUUGGGGCGUCGCCUUUAUGUUACUGGGACCAAUCAGAGAUCUGGCAGAAACUUUGUAAACAAGUCUUACACGUUGUGUGAAAUAGAUUUUAUUUGAUCGUUUCAGUGAGCUGUAUCGUUGGGAAACCCGCAGGACUGGAAGACUUCACUAAGGUUCUUUUACAUGGAAAUGCCCAUAUGAUGAGUGAUUAUAUGUCAUUUCAUAGAAAAGGAAACACUGACAUCUAGAGGGCGCUGAACUCCCAAAACAACUGUAAAAUACAUGAAUACAGAGAUCAUUCAAUCAGAGAGAUGCUCAAAUACGCAACACAGACCGGCCCGUGGUGCCAAGGUCUACCUAUCUCUCCAAAGGGAGGAGGAGAGCAUCAGAAGAGAUGGUCAGCCCUCUGGCCUAGGUCAGGCCAUUGUCUUCCAACAGGUGAGGUCACUCCUACUGUGACGCUAGUCCCUUGACCAACGGUGCAGACGAAAGGUCUGGCCAACCUGAAUGAUGUCAUCAACAGUGCUGCAUCACCCAGUUGAAGACAGGAUCCCACCUGUAAACAGCAGCUUUGAGAGCGCUGGAGCGAGUCAGGAAUGGUGGUUGGUUGGGUGUGGCUCAUCUCAGGUAAGACUUAACUAGCUCUUGUGGUUUACUUUGUACAGUUGAGGUGCUGCUUUCACAUGGGAAGGCUACUGUUUUCAAUGAAGACAUUGUAGCACAGCAAGACCUUGGGCUUUUUGGGUGAUGCAUGUGUUGUACCGUAAGGAAGAAAUAUAAGAAAGAUUCCCUGUAUCUGCAGAUUCCCUCUGAGAAAUAGAAUAUCCUGAAACACUAGACUGUAGUAGUAUACGAGAGGUGUACAUGAUAUAGGAUAGAAUAAAGUAUUGCGUAAGUGUUUGUGUGUGUGUGUGUGUGUGUGUGUGUGCACGUACUCUAGCGCACGUGUGUCAUUCUACUUCCCAGAGUAUACACUGAAUGUCUACAGUAUUCUUAGAUACCACCUCGUAUUGUUGACAAUAGAUUGGGGAAGGCUGUUUCUGCACUGUUGUUUUGAUUGUAACCAGUCUCUCCUGCUUGUCUGUCUUAGGCUUAUGAAUGAGGUUCAAGAGCUUCCUUAUACAUCUUUAAAUCCUUGUUCAGCUAUUGGUGGUUUCAAACUAAAAUCUGAUUCUAGUCUUCUGUCUAUAGGGAUGGAAAGUUCUUUUCAUGUGCAGCGUUGUUGGAAAUAACGAUGAGUGUGUCUAGAAGAAAUUAAACUGUAUUUUUGAUUGUCACUUCACAUCAUGUGCAAGCGUUAGUAGAUAACUAUUUCAUAUUUCCUUGAAGCCUACUUGUUCAUGAGUCGAUAGUGGCUGUCGGCAGAUUCUUUUAGUAUACACAGUUAAUGAAUCGAGAACGGAAUUUCAACACAAUCUAUAUACCCGCUGAGAUCUAAUUCUUAACUCUGCCAAACCAUUACAGAACAUUUCAGAUACUCCACAGUCGGUGAUCAAUUGAUCGAUGACAGUAGUCCGAUUUGCCAACCGGUGUAUUUUUUCAUGUCUUUAAAUGUCUUCAUGGAGGCUGGAUUGCAUGGGAGCCAGUGCCCACUUUGAAGGUAAAGGUCAUAUGAUAAUCUAUUAGUGGUCACAUAUGUUGUUGUCAUUUUCACUAUCACAAAUGAUCUGAUACCAGCACUGUGUCUUUCUUUCUAAACCACCGAAACUCCACAGGCUUUAUUUCCUGUAAAUGGUGGUCAGGUGAUUUCUGUCCCAUCCACCACUCUCAUGUCUCUUUUUUUUUAAACAUUUGAUGUUAUACAGCAGUUAUACAGUCUUUUUCAAUACAUCAAGGACCAUCCACUUUAAGUAGAAGUGUCCUGAAAUAAUUUGUCGCUAAAUCAUUUGCUCGGGUAUCAAGCUGAUAGGCCUAAGUAAACAUUUGCCAAUUGUCUUUGGGUCAUAACAUGACAGACACAUUCCUAGUAUCACACCGUUGCCUGAGUCUCUUGGCGAGGAACCGGAUAUUUCUUGGUCCCUAAGACGAGGGGUCUAUGGAUGAAGGCAUAGGACAGACACCCAGUGUGUCAGGUCAUCCCUCAGUGAAGUGGUUCUGCUCAGAGUGACUCGACACUUUUGACAUGUGCUAGCACACUUGUGCUCAGAUACGUUUCGUUUUUGGAUUAGUCUCUGCAGCAGCUGCCUCUCCACAGCGGUUGAGGUUGAACUCAGGGUGCCCCCCCCCCCCCCACCAGCCACCCUGGGCAGUCGCUACUGCGUGAUUCCUCACAAAACUAGAACAAAAAAAACUAAGGAUUUGGGGGGAUUUUCACAAGAUAUUUUACAUUUACAUUUAAGUCAUUUAGCAGACGCUCUUAUCCAGAGCGACUUACAAAUUGGUGCAUUCA